GAAAUGCGAUAAGUAAUGUGAAUUGCAGAAUUCAGUGAAUCAUCGAAUCUUUGAACGCACAUUGCGCCCCCUGGUAUUCCGGGGGGCACGCCUGUUCGAGCGUCAUUUCACCACUCAAGCCUCGCUUGGUAUUGGGCAACGCGGUCCGCCGCGUGCCUCAAAUCGACCGGCUGGGUCUUCUGUCCCCUAAGCGUUGUGGAAACUAUUCGCUAAAGGGUGCUCGGGAGGCUACGCCGUAAAACAAACCCGUUUCUAAGGUUGACCUCGGAUCAGGUAGGGAUACCCGCUGAACUUAAGC
rnacentral:misc_RNA from 1 species